CUCUGCAGAGCACAGUAGAGUAGCUCCCUCCAGUUCAUCUUCAACACAAACCAUGCUGUCUGUGGCACUACUGAUGUUGAUGCUAACCAGGAUAUUCAGUGUUCACUGUGUUGACCUGACACAGCCCAGUUCUUUGAGCGUCCGACCUGGCCAGUCAGUGACCAUCAGCUGUAAGGUCUGCAGGAAAAGUUGUCCUUGGGGUUCCUGAGUUCAGCCCACGUGGGACAAAAAGCUGCCCCAUAGCCCCUGAAGCUACCAGUACCUCAGGUU